GGGGGUCUGCGCGCGUCUCUCUGGCCGUCACCGCCGCCUCCUGCACGAGCAUCCAGUGCGCGCACGCGCCGGGGUACGUGCAUGCGCGGUGCGGGCAGGGCGCGCCUGCCGAGUGGGGGCAGGGGGACUUGCUCAUUCUCGCGGGCGGGUCCCCCCCCUCCCUCACGGGCCGCGCUGUGCGAGACGAGGGGUGGCGCUCGCGCGCCGCGGCGACUGUGAGGCUCGCGCGGCCGCGAUGCGGUGACGUCAUCCCGAAGCGGGCGCCAGAAGGAGGAGGCGUUUUCUCGGGAACCCGCCCAGCCACGCUUGGGUGCGCGAGCUUGGCGCCCGCCCGCCUGCCUCACGGAGCCGUCCCGCAGCGCGGCAGCGAGCUGGGUUGGCUGCCGAGGUGCCGCGGGGUAACGGUCGCCGCGCGGCCUGGGUGUGGGUCCGGCAGGGAAGUGGGGCCGCCUCGCGCCCCUACCCGCAGCGCCGGGCCGAGGUGCUGCCACUCCCCGCGGGCCCGGCAGGUGGAGGAGGAUGAGCGUCGUGUGCCACCUCCUGCGGGGGCAGUUGUAGCGGGGCCCCCUGUAACAGCGGUGUACGUGGGCUGAACGGGGCGCGGCGGCCCAGCUUUCUCCGGCCGGGCCUGACUGUAGGGGGGGCGAAGGAAACCUGCGGGGCAGUAACUGAACUAGCGGGGGAGGCUGAUCAUUAGCCAAGUGCCCCUUGGCCGUGCGCCUGUGUGAUGGCGACAAGGCCAAAACUGGGUCAGCGCCCACAAACCACCUGCCUGAUAGGACUCUCUCAUAAUUUACACCAGGGUGAGAGAAGAAUCAGGCCCCUCAGAAUUUUUUGAAGUAAUUCCAAUGAUUCCAAUGGUCAAGGAAACAGUCAGUACCAACCAGCAGGAAGAGAAGUGUUCAGGCACCGAUGGUAUUCUGCAAUAGUACUAUUACCUCUGGAAAAAAUAUCCUUGGAAAUUCAGACUACAUACCACAAACUGGAAUAAGAAAUGAAUCCACAAAGCUUCAGAGACAUCACCCAAUCUGUACUCAUAAAUCUCCUACCCAAAUGGAGAUAAACAGUUAAUCCAGUUAAAAACGUAUCUAUACCUACAGGACCUAAUCUGAAUUUGUUCACAAGUUAAAAGAAGUCUACCUUGUUAUAAUAAUAAUAUAAUAAAAGCACUUAAUUUUAAAACAAUUGUUAACUAUUUUAAAUCUAAGUAUAAGAGACUAUUUUGCAUAUCUUAUAUAAAAUGUUAACAAUCUGGUUGUUUUCUCUGUACCUUUGUGUAUCUGUGUGUUUCCUCAUAUGUAAUAGAGCAGAGGAGUGUAACAGUAAUAGCAUAUAGUGACACAUUCUUUAUGCUCACACAACUCCCAUCAAAAUGAAUGUAAAUUGUACUUGCAUACCCUAUUAAAAAUUAAUAGAAGUUGCAGCUGCAUAUCUGACGGCAGAAUUUAGCCCACUACAUAUUAAAGUAAAUAUUUAAUAGACAACCUAAUAAAAAUGUAAUAUAACAAUGUCAA